CCACAGCUCACAGUCACUGGAUCACAGCCGGACGGCUCGCGACGCCGUCACGGAAAAUAACAGCUGGACACAGACAAACGAGUCCCGCGAAUUGUAUUUUUAAACUGGAGAGACAGCUGACAGGAUGUCGUCAUCUGUAACCGUCACUCGCCACAGUUCUCAAGCGAGAAAGGCAGCGAGGG